GAUGAACGCUGGCGGCGUGCCUAAUACAUGCAAGUCGAGCGAACAGACGAGGAGCUUGCUCCUCUGACGUUAGCGGCGGACGGGUGAGUAACACGUGGAUAACCUACCUAUAAGACUGGGAUAACUUCGGGAAACCGGAGCUAAUAACGGAUAAUAUAUUGAACCGCAUGGUUCAAUAGUGCAAGACAGUUUUGCUGUCACUUAUAGAUGGAUCCGCGCCGCAUUAGCUAGUUGGUAAGGUAACGGCUUACCAAGGCAACGAAGCGUAGCCGACCUGAGAGGGUGAUCGGCCACACUGGAACUGAGACACGGUCCAGACUCCUACGGGAGGCAGCAGUAGGGAAUCUUCCGCAAUGGGCGAAAGCUUGACGGAGCAACGCCGCGUGAGUGAUGAAGGUCUUCGGAUCGUAAAACUCUGUUAUUAGGGAAGAACAACUGUGUAAGUAACUAUGCACGUCUUGACGGUACCUAAUGAGAAAGCCACGGCUAACUACGUG
rnacentral:rRNA from 1 species